GACAGAGGGUGCAAACGUUGUUCGGAAUUACUGGGCGUAAAGCGUGUGUAGGCGGUGAGGCAAGUCGGAUGUGAAAGCCCCAGGCUCAACCUGGGAAGUGCACCCGAUACUGCUUCACUAGAGUAUCGGAGAGGUUGGUGGAAUUCUCGGUGUAGAGGUGAAAUUCGUAGAUAUUGAGAGGAACACCGGUGGCGAAGGCGGCCAACUGGACGAAUACUGACGCUGAGACACGAAAGCGUGGGGAGCAAACAGG
rnacentral:rRNA from 1 species